rnacentral:rRNA from 1 species
UACGGAGGAUCCAAGCGUUAUCCGGAUUCAUUGGGCUUAAAGGGUGCGUAGGCGGACUGAUAAGUCAGCGGUGAAAUCCCACGGCUCAACUGUGGAACUGCCGUUGAUACUGUUAGUCUUGAAUGCAGAUGAUGUGGGCGGAAUAUGACAUGUAGUGGUGAAAUACUUAGAUAUGUCAUAGAACACCGAUUGCGAAGGCAGCUCACAAAACUGUGAUUGACGCUGAUGCACGAAAGCGUGGGGAUCAAACAGG